rnacentral:rRNA from 1 species
UACAGAGGGUGCAAGCGUUAAUCGGAAUUACUGGGCGUAAAGCGUGCGCAGGCGGCUUUGCAAGACAGAUGUGAAAUCCCCGGGCUUAACCUGGGAACUGCAUUUGUGACUGCAUGGCUAGAGUGCGGCAGAGGGGGAUGGAAUUCCGCGUGUAGCAGUGAAAUGCGUAGAUAUGCGGAGGAACACCGAUGGCGAAGGCAAUCCCCUGGGCCUGCACUGACGCUCAUGCACGAAAGCGUGGGGAGCAAAAGGG